GACGAACGCUGGCGGCGUGCUUAACACAUGCAAGUCGAGCGGUAAGGCUCCUUCGGGAGUACACGAGCGGCGAACGGGUGAGUAACACGUGAGCAAUCUGCCCUUCACAUCGGGAUAACCUCCGGAAACGGGAGCUAAUACCGGAUACAACCACUUCAGGCAUCUGAUGGUGGUGGAAAGUUCUGGCGGUGAAGGAUGAGCUCGCGGCCUAUCAGCUUGUUGGUGAGGUAAUGGCCCACCAAGGCUUCGACGGGUAGCCGGCCUGAGAGGGUGACCGGCCACACUGGGACUGAGACACGGCCCAAACUCCUACGGGAGGCAGCAGUGGGGAAUAUUGGACAAUGGGCGAAAGCCUGAUCCAGCAACGCCGCGUGAGGGAUGACGGCCUUCGGGUUGUAAACCUCUUUCAGCGCAAACAAAGCGAAAGUGACGGUAUGCGCAAAAAAAGCACCGGCCAACUA
rnacentral:rRNA from 1 species